rnacentral:rRNA from 1 species
AGAGUUUGAUCCUGGCUCAGGAUGAACGCUAGCUACAGGCUUAACACAUGCAAGUCGAGGGGCAGUAUGGACCCAGCUUUGCUGGGUUUGAUGGCGACCGGCGCACGGGUGAGUAACGCGUAUCCAACCUGCCCUUUUACUCCGGGAUAGUCUCCUGAAAGGGAGUUUAAUACCGGAUGUGUUUGUCUUUCCGCAUGGGAGCGACAAAUAAAGAUUGAUUGGUAAAGGAUGGGGAUGCGUCCCAUUAGCUUGUUGG